CCAGACAGCAUGUCAGAUCCACAACGGAUACAUUGGAGAUGCAGAGAGGGCAGCCCUAGAAACCAGUCACCCAAUAUGGCAAAUCCAUUCACACCGAUCUUCACCAUCCUGUCUACUGAACAAGGCUGGCCCUGCAUGAGAAGAUGCUGCUGUCUCUGGAACAGGGAGCCCAAAAUAUUCGUAAUAUAUUGACAAAAGUCUUAAGUGCAAGGUUUCUAUUAACGCUGGACUACAUGUAAAGUAAUGGGUGUGCAUGUCCGCUAAUGAUCCUUAUCUUAAGUUCCCUUUUUAUGGUGAGGACUGCAGGAGGUAUCAUCUCAACAAUCAGGAACGUGUAGCAUCUUGUCUUCUCAGGAUCUACGUGCACUGCGAAUGCAUGUGUCACUGUAUACGUGUGCUUGUGUAUUGUUCACUAGGUACCCAGUUGACUUGUAAGGUCGCGUGCAAAUGACAGUUGUUAACUUGGCCCCGCUUCUUUUUGGCUCACAGGAAAAGUAAACAUUUAGUGGGAAAAGUCCCAUGCGACUGUCCCAAUGGGCUAAGGAAGCUCUGCCACACGUCCAACAUUCUGACUGAAGGGACAAAACACUGGCAAAGGACGAGGAGACGUUUAGUUAAUGUGACCAUUUUGAGAUGAUCGCUCCUGCUCCAGGGACGUUCUCCGACCGGAUGACUGUCCUUCGAGAUGCUAAACUUCCUUCCAAAGAUUAAGAGGAUGACUUAUGUCUAUGCUUUUAGGAACCUCUCUCCAAGCUGAGGCUCGUCCUUGGCAAAGGAUGGGUCUUUGCUCCUGCCCUUUCUCUGCUUCCUGAAUAUCCAGAGGAGGACUGCUUCGUGACCUUCACCACGUGUUCCUGUGAUCUUCUGUCUCACUCUAUCCCACAGAGAACAGAGACAACAACCAUGGACUCAAACUCAAACCUGCAAAACCAUAAGCCAAAUUAACCCUUCUUCCCUUUAAAUAUACACAAGUAUUUGUCACAGUGAUACAAGCCUUGCUAAGAGUCUCUGUUCUUCUGUCCUCGCCUCUGACAGUCUCUGUAGAACACCAAGACUCUUCCUUUCUGUCCUUGUAAACCCUGAUGUUUAGGAGAUGUUAGCCCAGACUCUUCCAAUCUGACCUUCAUAACCACCCACCAAGGUGGGAAGGGUUAAAGGUAAUUUAGUCCCCAUUAUUUAACCAAUUUAUAAUCGCUGAGUUAUUUUUAAAAUUCAAUUCGUGUUUCUUUAACUUGUAUGUAAGGAACUUGCUGAAGCCCUCUAUAGAUUCUUUCGUAUUUGCUUAUUAGACAAUCAUAUAAGCAAUAAUAAACAAUUAUAUUUUAAAAUUCA
rnacentral:sRNA from 1 species